ACUGGAUCUUAUUGAUAUGAAAAA
rnacentral:siRNA from 1 species